rnacentral:rRNA from 1 species
GACGAACGCUGGCGGCGCGCCUAACACAUGCAAGUCGAGCGAAGCACCUUACUUGAUUUCUUCGGGAUGAAAGUAUUGUGACUGAGCGGCGGACGGGUGAGUAACGCGUGGAUAACCUGCCUCAUACAGGGGGAUAACAGUUGGAAACGACUGCUAAUACCGCAUAAGCCCACGGCCCGGCAUCGGGUUGAGGGAAAAGGAUUUAUUCGCUUCAGGAUGGACUCGCGUCCAAUUAGCUAGUUGGUGGGGUAACGGCCCACCAAGGCGACGAUUGGUAGCCGGACUGAGAGGUUGAACGGCCACAUUGGGACUGAGACACGGCCCAG